rnacentral:rRNA from 1 species
GGCGGACGGGUCAGUAAUGCAUAGGAAUCUGCCCGAUAGUGGGGGAUAACAUGGGGAAACCCAGGCUAAUACCGCAUAUCGUCCUACGGGAGAAAGGGGGCUUCGGCUCCCGCUUUCGGAUGAGCCUAUGUCGGAUUAGCUAGUUGGUAGGUAAAGGCUCACCAAGGCAACGAUCCGUAGCUGGUCAGAGAGUGAUGAUCAGCCACAUCGGGACUGAGACACGGCCCGAUCUCCUACGGGAGGCAGCAGUGGGGAAUAUUGGACAAUGGGGGCAACCCUGAUCCAGCCAUGCCGCGUGUGUGAAGAAGGCCCUCGGGUUGUAAAGCACUUUCAGCGAGCAAGAACGCUAGCGGUUAAUACCCGCUAGGAAAGACUUCACUCGCAGAAGAAGCACCGGCUAACUCCGUGCCAGCAGCCGCGGUAAUACGGAGGGUGCAAGCGUUAAUCGGCAAUUACUGGGCGUAAAGCCGCGUAGCUGGCUUGAUAAGCCGGUUGUGAAAGCCCCGGGCUCAACCUGGGAAGGGCAUCCGGAACUGUCAAGCUAGCAGUGCAGGAGAGCAAGGUAGAAUUCCCGGUGUAGCGGUGAACAUGCGUAGAGUUGGGAGGAAUACCAGUGGCGAAGGCGGCCUU